CUUUCUGGAAAUGACAUCAUGCGCACGGACGUCUUUGAGUGCAGAGGAUUGUGCUGCGAGUCAUUAUCUCUUUAUCUCUUUGGGUAAUGUUGUUAACACUCGAGCGGUUUAGCACAGUUGGAGCUGGAGAGGAGUGCAAGUGAAGGAUGGAGAGUCGAUCUCUACACCCGGGAUACGGUGACUAGGCCCAUGAGAAAGACAGCUGAACCUAAGGACGACCAGGUGGCGGUGAGGUGCAGUGUAAUCGGGGCCCAGGACCCAUCAACGCCAUUCCUGCCUGCUAUUUAUAGGAGACCACUGUCCCCCCUUGUCCCCCUUCCUGGAUCUGUGUGUGUGUCUCAGCUCCGAUAUUCUCACUCUUAAUCUGGCUGCUGUGUAAUUCGGUGAACAGGAUGUACAGCAAAGCCAGAUACAAAGAAAGGUGUGUGUGAGCCGGGCGCGAUGAAGGAGGCUGAUUUAUUCGGCCUGUCCAUUUGUUUCCGGUGUCUUCCACGUCUACAUUCCGCUUCAUGGCUUCGAGUGAUUAAAUAACACAAUCUGUGUAUUCCGCUGACGACGAGCGUCUCUGCCUCCUGACAGCUCCGCUAAUUGAUUUAUGAGUUGACAUUAUCAGAGGUCGAUGUGAGUGACACACACACGCUGCGAUGGAAAUGUUGAGAGAUUGUCUCAGAUUGGGAGGAAAGGUUGAAUUCGGGGAGAGCCAUGUCACUGUCAGAACCAGGGGUCAAGAUGUGAUCUCACUUGGUCCAAAGAAGCUCAGAAAAAUGAGAUUUAUAGGGGAAGUCUGUUCACAGUCCUGAACAUUUUCUUCCUUUUUCCAUCAACAGGGUGCUGGAGUCUGUCCCAGGUACUUGAGGCGGGGAACACCCUUGACAUGUCAUCAUACCAUGACUGGACAAAUAUAGACAUGCAAACGUGUUUGCAAACAAUCUGUUUGCAAACACAUUUGUGGCAGGAGGCUGAAAUGCCACUUUACAUGAAGUGAGAAUAGUGAAUAUCUUUAUGUCCAAGAUUUGGGUGAAGGAUACAAGCAAAGAUACAGGCAAGGGAAAUCAGCGUUCUCCACAGGUGGUCUGGCCUCAGCCUCAGCGAUAGGGUCCGAUACAAUCAUGUGGGAGAGGCUCGAAGUAGAACUGGAGUCCGAUGACGUGGCAUCUUUCUAUGGAGGUGUUGCCAGGGAGGUGGCCAAGGGAACUGCUACCCUGACAACCCCAGAUAAUGGAUGGACGGUGUCAAAACUCCUCACAGGCUUAUACAGUAAAGAUGAAUUACAGUUGAACCAUCAAUUUGUUCGCAUAUCUCCACAAAAUUAAAAAGUCCACCUUUCCUUCUGCCCAGAACAUGUUCUUGGGCCAGAUAUCAUAUGACCUGGAUCUGAUCCGGGGCUGCUUCCUCAUUAUAUCUCCCUCUAAUCCAGGAGACCUCAGACCUUCAAUUCUCAUGAUCUCAUGUUUGGGGUCUCUAUGAAGAUGGUGACCAUAGGUGGCAGGGAGAAAUCCACUGGUCAAACAAAUAUGUUGUCUUUUGGCUCAGCUCUGCCUUCACCACAGUGCUCGCGACUGAAGAUAAUCUGUUCACCUGUCACUCGUGAACAAGACCUCAAGUGUGACCUAAAGAUAUUUGGUUUUUUAAAAGCGGUAACUGUGGCAUCUUCACCACAGUGCUCGCGACUGAAGAUAAUCUGUUCACCUGUCACUCGUAAACAAGACCUCAAGUGUGACCUAAAGAUAUUUGGUUUUCAAAAUGGUAACUGUGGCAUACAAACUGGCAGGAACAUUUAUGUCCUGGGGAACCAAUGGUGAUGUGUCACUCUUGCCAAGUGAAUGUAAUUGGUCUUUACUGGAGCUAAAACUCAGUCUCGUCAAAUAAAGUACAACUGUGAGCUGGAGAUACACACAACACCUUCAAUGUGAUGUCCGCUGAAGUCAGAAGAAAUAGGAAGCUGGUGGGCUUGUGAGUGUGCGUGUGUUCUCGUGUACUGUUUUUCGUAUGAAUGUGCCUCUGUGACGUGGAAAAGAGAGCACAGGGUCCAUUGUGGACCUCUGUGUGGCUCAGAUUGUCCUCUUCUCUGGGAAAGUGGAAACUCAACACUCCUCUCCUGAGGUCUGGUUACCAGGUGAGAGCUCUGGAAAGAAAAGGAGAGCGGGAGAGCGAAAAGGAGGGAGAGACCCAAAGGUGUGGAGAGAGACACUGAAAGAGAGAAACCAGGGAGCUGCAGGAGAGAGAGAGGUGGAAACU